rnacentral:rRNA from 1 species
CGAGAUUCCGGUAGUAGCGGCGAGCGAACCUGGAUUAGCCCUUAAGCACUCGGUGAAGUAGGUGAACAAGCUGGAAAGCUUGGCGAUACAGGGUGAUAGCCCCGUAACCGACGCUUCAUCGAGCGUGAAAUCGAGUAGGGCGGGACACGUGAUAUCCUGUCUGAAUAUGGGGGGACCAUCCUCCAAGGCUAAAUACUCCUGACUGACCGAUAGUGAACCAGUACCGUGAGGGAAAGGCGAAAAGAACCCCUGUGAGGGGAGUGAAAUAGAACCUGAAACCGUGUACGUACAAGCAGUAGGAGCACCUUCGUGGUGUGACUGCGUACCUUUUGUAUAAUGGGUCAGCGACUUAUAUUCAGUGGCAAGGUUAACCGUAUAGGGGAGCCGUAGCGAAAGCGAGUCUUAACUGGGCGCUCAGUCUCUGGAUAUAGACCCGAAACCGGGUGAUCUAGCCAUGGGCAGGUUGAAGGUUGAGUAACAUCAACUGGAGGACCGAACCGACUAAUGUUGAAAAAUUAGCGGAUGACUUGUGGCUAGGGGUGAAAGGCCAAUCAAACUCGGAGAUAGCUGGUUCUCCCCGAAAGCUAUUUAGGUAGCGCCUCGGACGAAUACUACUGGGGGUAGAGCACUGUUAAGGCUAGGGGGUCAUCCCGACUUACCAACCCUUUGCAAACUCCGAAUACCAGUAAGUACUAUCCGGGAGACACACGGCGGGUGCUAACGUCCGUCGUGGAGAGGGAAACAACCCAGACCGCCAGCUAAGGUCCCAAAGUAUUGCUAAGUGGGAAACGAUGUGGGAAGGCUCAGACAGCUAGGAUGUUGGCUUAGAAGCAGCCAUCAUUUAAAGAAAGCGUAAUAGCUCACUAGUCGAGUCGGCCUGCGCGGAAGAUGUAACGGGGCUAAGCAAUACACCGAAGCUGCGGCAAUAUCUUUUAGAUAUUGGGUAGGGGAGCGUUCUGUAAGCCGUUGAAGGUGAAUCGUAAGGUUUGCUGGAGGUAUCAGAAGUGCGAAUGCUGACAUGAGUAACGACAAAGGGGGUGAAAAACCUCCUCGCCGGAAGACCAAGGGUUCCUGUCCAACGUUAAUCGGGGCAGGGUGAGUCGACCCCUAAGGUGAGGCCGAAAGGCGUAAUCGAUGGGAAACGGGUUAAUAUUCCCGUACUUCUGACUAUUGCGAUGGGGGGACGGAGAAGGCUAGGUGGGCCAGGCGACGGUUGUCCUGGUUCAAGUGCGUAGGCUUGAGAGUUAGGUAAAUCCGGCUCUCUCUAAGGCUGAGACACGACGUCGAGCUGCUACGGCAGUGAAGUCAUUGAUGCCAUGCUUCCAGGAAAAGCCUCUAAGCUUCAGAUAGUCAGGAAUCGUACCCCAAACCGACACAGGUGGUCGGGUAGAGAAUACCAAGGCGCUUGAGAGAACUCGGGUGAAGGAACUAGGCAAAAUGGUACCGUAACUUCGGGAGAAGGUACGCUCUUGAUGGUGAAGUCCCUCGCGGAUGGAGCUGACGAGAGUCGCAGAUACCAGGUGGCUGCAACUGUUUAUUAAAAACACAGCACUGUGCAAAAUCGCAAGAUGACGUAUACGGUGUGACGCCUGCCCGGUGCCGGAAGGUUAAUUGAUGGGGUUAGCGCAAGCGAAGCUCUUGAUCGAAGCCCCGGUAAACGGCGGCCGUAACUAUAACGGUCCUAAGGUAGCGAAAUUCCUUGUCGGGUAAGUUCCGACCUGCACGAAUGGCGUAAUGAUGGCCACGCUGUCUCCACCCGAGACUCAGUGAAAUUGAAAUCGCUGUGAAGAUGCAGUGUACCCGCGGCUAGACGGAAAGACCCCGUGAACCUUUACUACAGCUUGGCACUGAACAUUGAACCUACAUGUGUAGGAUAGGUGGGAGGCUAUGAAGACGUGACGCCAGUUGCGUUGGAGCCGUCCUUGAAAUACCACCCUUGUAUGUUUGAUGUUCUAACUUAGACCCAUUAUCUGGGUUGAGGACAGUGCCUGGUGGGUAGUUUGACUGGGGCGGUCUCCUCCCAAAGAGUAACGGAGGAGCACGAAGGUGGGCUAAUCACGGUUGGACAUCGUGAGGUUAGUGCAAUGGCAUAAGCCCGCUUAACUGCGAGAAUGACGGUUCGAGCAGGUGCGAAAGCAGGUCAUAGUGAUCCGGUGGUUCUGUAUGGAAGGGCCAUCGCUCAACGGAUAAAAGGUACUCCGGGGAUAACAGGCUGAUACCGCCCAAGAGUUCAUAUCGACGGCGGUGUUUGGCACCUCGAUGUCGGCUCAUCACAUCCUGGGGCUGAAGUCGGUCCCAAGGGUAUGGCUGUUCGCCAUUUAAAGUGGUACGCGAGCUGGGUUUAGAACGUCGUGAGACAGUUCGGUCCCUAUCUGCCGUGGGCGUUGGAAGAUUGAAGGGGGCUGCUCCUAGUACGAGAGGACCGGAGUGGACGAACCUCUGGUGUUCGGGUUGUGUCGCCAGACGCAUUGCCCGGUAGCUAAGUUCGGAAUUGAUAAGCGCUGAAAGCAUCUAAGCGCGAAGCGAGCCCUGAGAUGAGUCUUCCCUGA